rnacentral:rRNA from 1 species
UACGUAGGUGGCAAGCGUUGUCCGGAUUUACUGGGCGUAAAGAGCGCGCAGGCGGUCGUGCAAGUCGCGUGUGAAAGCCCUGGGCUCAACCCAGGAAGUGCACUCGAAACUGGCGAGCUAGAGUACUGGAGAGGUUGGUGGAAUUCUCGGUGUAGAGGUGAAAUUCGUAGAUAUCGAGAGGAACACCGGUGGCGAAGGCGGCGAUCUGGACGAUGACUGACGCUGAGACGCGAAAGCGUGGGGAGCAAACAGG